rnacentral:rRNA from 1 species
AUGGCCCGCGCUCCCGCCCCCGCCGGAUGCAUCCUCAUCGUUGCCGUCGUGCUCGCGGUGGCAGCCUCCCCCGUGCGCGCGGCGGCCCCGCCGGCUGCCUCUCCGGAGAAGUCUAAGGCCAUGUCGUUGCCGGCCGCCGCGCUGGCGAAGGCGCACGGCGCGGCGCUCAGGGUGGUCAACACCCUCGAGGCUGGCGUGUCCGGGACCCUUGGGAUGCUGAAGAGCACGCUGGGCGGACAUGGUAGGGGUAAGGCCUCCGCUGGCGCCGGUGCCCCGGGGGGAGGCGCGCCCGCCAUGGCCCCAGCUGGCGCAGGCGGCCGGCGUCAUGGCCCGCCGACCAUGGCCCCUGCCGCUAGCGCCCCUGAACACGGCGCGCAUGCCAGGAGCCCUGCCGCUGGCGCCCCGGAGUAUGGCUCGGCGGCCAUGGGCCCUGCCGCCAGCUCCCCGGGGCAUGGCUCAGCAGCCAUGGGCCCUGCCUCCGGCGCUCCGAAGUCCGCCAUGAGCCCUGCCUCCGGCGCUCCGAGGUCCGCCAUGGGCCCUGCCUCCGGCGCUCCGACGUCCACCAUGGGCCCUGCCUCCGGCGCUCCGAGGUCCGCCAUGGGCCCUGCCUCCGGCGCUCCGAGGUCCGCCAUGGGCCCUGCCUCCGGCGCUCCAAGGUCUGCCAUGGGCCCUGCCUCCGGCGCUCCGAGGUCGGCCAUGGGCCCUGCCUCCGGCGCUCCGAGGUCGGCCAUGGGCCCUGCCUCCGGCGCUCCGAGGUCCGCCAUGGGCCCUGCCUCCGGCGCUCCGAGGUCUGCCAUGGGCAUGGGCCCCGCCGCGGAAUCUCCGGGGCACAAAGCUUUCACCAUGGAAGUAGGCGGCGUCUCCGGUCCAGCGGGCGCCCCCGACGCUAAGGUGUCCAGCGAAGAAGCCGCCUUCCCGCCCGACACGCCCAUUGCCAGCGAGGCCACCGAGGCCAAGGUCACCAGUUCGGCAGACGAAAGCUCGACGGAGACCGAAGACACCCCCGCCGCCGCCGAGGGGGAGGGGCCCGCGGCGGCGGCUCCUGGUCCCGACUCCGAGGCGGCCGACCACGCUGGCGGAGCGAGCGUCGUCAAGUCCAGCGGCCUCGGGCCCGUCGUUGCGUUCUUGACCGCCGUCGUGUGCGUCGUGGGUGCUCUCUAA